UGGGGAAUAUUGGACAAUGGGCGCAAGCCUGAUCCAGCCAUGCCGCGUGAGUGAUGAAGGCCUUAGGGUUGUAAAGCUCUUUUGUCCGGGAAGAUAAUGACUGUACCGGAAGAAUAAGCCCCGGCUAACUUCGUGCCAGCAGCCGCGGUAAUACGAAGGGGGCUAGCGUUGCUCGGAAUCACUGGGCGUAAAGGGCGCGUAGGCGGACUCUUAAGUCGGGGGUGAAAGCCCAGGGCUCAACCCUGGAAUUGCCUUCGAUACUGAGAGUCUUGAGUUCGGAAGAGGUUGGUGGAAUUGCGAGUGUAGAGGUGAAAUUCGUAGAUAUUCGCAAGAACACCAGUGGCGAAGGCGGCCAACUGGUCCGAUACUGACGCUGAGGCGCGAAAGCGUGGGGAGCAAACAGG
rnacentral:rRNA from 1 species